rnacentral:rRNA from 1 species
AUGCACGCUGGCGGCGUGCUUAACACAUGCAAGUCGAACGAUGAAGCCCAGCUUGCUGGGUGGAUUAGUGGCGAACGGGUGAGUAACACGUGAGUAACCUGCCCUUGACUCUGGGAUAAGCCUGGGAAACUGGGUCUAAUACUGGAUAUGACUUCUCAUCGCAUGGUGGGGGGUGGAAAGAUUUAUUGGUCUUGGAUGGACUCGCGGCCUAUCAGCUUGUUGGUGAGGUAAUGGCUCACCAAGGCGACGACGGGUAGCCGGCCUGAGAGGGUGACCGGCCACACUGGGACUGAGACACGGCCCAGACUCCUACGGGAGGCAGCAGUGGGGAAUAUUGCACAAUGGGCGCAAGCCUGAUGCAGCGACGCCGCGUGAGGGAUGACGGCCUUCGGGUUGUAAACCUCUUUCAGUAGGGAAGAAGCGAGAGUGACGGUACCUGCAGAAGAAGCGCCGGCUAACUACGUG